AUGGUUGUCGUCAGCUCGUGUCGUGAGAUGUGGGUUAAGUCCCGCAACGAGCGCAACCCCUAUUGUUAGUUGCCAUCAUUCAGUUGGGCACUCUAGCGAGACUGCCGGUAAUAAACCGGAGGAAGGUGGGGAUGACGUCAAAUCAUCAUGCCCCUUAUGACCUGGGCUACACACGUGCUACAAUGGUUGGUACAACGAGUUGCGAGUCGGUGACGGCGAGCUAAUCUCUUAAAGCCAAUCUCAGUUCGGAUUGUAGGCUGCAACUCGCCUACAUGAAGUCGGAAUCGCUAGUAAUCGCGGAUCAGCACGCCGCGGUGAAUACGUUCCCGGGCCUU
rnacentral:rRNA from 1 species